UACGUAGGUGGCGAGCGUUGUCCGGAUUUACUGGGCGUAAGGAGCGCGCAGGCGGCUGGUCAAGUCCGAUGUGAAAGCUCCCGGCUUAACUGGGAAAUUGCAUCGGAAACUGAUCGGCUGGAAGGUGGGAGAGGGUAGCGGAAUUCCCGGUGUAGUGGUGAAAUGCGUAGAUAUCGGGAGGAACACCAGUGGCGAAAGCGGCUACCUGGCCCAUUCUUGACGCUGAGGCGCGAAAGCUAGGGGAGCAAACGGG
rnacentral:rRNA from 1 species